UACGAAGGGGGCAAGCGUUGUUCGGAAUUACUGGGCGUAAAGGGCGCGCAGGCGGCCAGACAAGUCAGAUGUGAAAGCCCCGGGCUCAACCUGGGAAUAGCAUUUGGGACUGUUUGGCUAGAGAUCGGGAGAGGAGAGUGGAAUUCCCAGUGUAGAGGUGAAAUUCGUAGAUAUGUGGAGGAACACCGAUGGCGAAGGCAGCCUUCUGGGCCAACACUGACGCUCAUGCACGAAAGCGUGGGGAGCAAACAGG
rnacentral:rRNA from 1 species